AUGGUGCAGCUGCACACCCUAUUUGGACAUAAGACAAAAUAUAUGAUGAGACCUCCUUGGUGCAGACAUUACAAAAAUACAGCAUAUGGUAAAGAUUUUUUUUUUUUUUUUUUUUUUUUUUUUUUUUUUUUUUUUUUUUUUUUUUUUUUUUUUUUUUUUUUUUUUUUUUUUUUUUUUUUUUUUUUUUUUUUUUUUUUUUUUUUUUUUUUUUUUUUUUUUUUUUUUUUUUUUUUUUUUUUUUUUUUUUUUUUUUUUUUUUUUUUUUUUUUUUUUUUUUUUUUUUUUUUUUUUUUUUUUUUUUUUUUUUUUUUUUUUUUUUUUUUUUUUUUUUUUUUUUUUUUUUUUUUUUUUUUUUUUUUUUUUUUUUUUUUUUUUUUUUUUUUUUUUUUUUUUUUUUUUUUUUUUUUUUUUUUUUUUUUUUUUUUUUUUUUUUUUUUUUUUUUUUUUUUUUUUUUUUUUUUUUUUUUUUUUUUUUUUUUUUUUUUUUUUUUUUUUUUUUUUUUUUUUUUUUUUUUUUUUUUUUUUUUUUUUUUUUUUUUUUUUUUUUUUUUUUUUUUUUUUUUUUUUUUUUUUUUUUUUUUUUUUUUUUUUUUUUUUUUUUUUUUUUUUUUUUUUUUUUUUUUUUUUUUUUUUUUUUUUUUUUUUUUUUUUUUUUUUUUUUUUUUUUUUUUUUUUUUUUUUUUUUUUUUUUUUUUUUUUUUUUUUUUUUUUUUUUUUUUUUUUUUUUUUUUUUUUUUUUUUUUUUUUUUUUUUUUUUUUUUUUUUUUUUUUUUUUUUUUUUUUUUUUUUUUUUUUUUUUUUUUUUUUUUUUUUUUUUUUUUUUUUUUUUUUUUUUUUUUUUUUUUUUUUUUUUUUUUUUUUUUUUUUUUUUUUUUUUUUUUUUUUUUUUUUUUUUUUUUUUUUUUUUUUUUUUUUUUUUUUUUUUUUUUUUUUUUUUUUUUUUUUUUUUUUUUUUUUUUUUUUUUUUUUUUUUUUUUUUUUUUUUUUUUUUUUUUUUUUUUUUUUUUUUUUUUUUUUUUUUUUUUUUUUUUUUUUUUUUUUUUUUUUUUUUUUUUUUUUUUUUUUUUUUUUUUUUUUUUUUUUUUUUUUUUUUUUUUUUUUUUUUUUUUUUUUUUUUUUUUUUUUUUUUUUUUUUUUUUUUUUUUUUUUUUUUUUUUUUUUUUUUUUUUUUUUUUUUUUUUUUUUUUUUUUUUUUUUUUUUUUUUUUUUUUUUUUUUUUUUUUUUUUUUUUUUUUUUUUUUUUUUUUUUUUUUUUUUUUUUUUUUUUUUUUUUUUUUUUUUUUUUUUUUUUUUUUUUUUUUUUUUUUUUUUUUUUUUUUUUUUUUUUUUUUUUUUUUUUUUUUUUUUUUUUUUUUUUUUUUUUUUUUUUUUUUUUUUUUUUUUUUUUUUUUUUUUUUUUUUUUUUUUUUUUUUUUUUUUUUUUUUUUUUUUUUUUUUUUUUUUUUUUUUUUUUUUUUUUUUUUUUUUUUUUUUUUUUUUUUUUUUUUUUUUUUUUUUUUUUUUUUUUUUUUUUUUUUUUUUUUUUUUUUUUUUUUUUUUUUUUUUUUUUUUUUUUUUUUUUUUUUUUUUUUUUUUUUUUUUUUUUUUUUUUUUUUUUUUUUUUUUUUUUUUUUUUUUUUUUUUUUUUUUUUUUUUUUUUUUUUUUUUUUUUUUUUUUUUUUUUUUUUUUUUUUUUUUUUUUUUUUUUUUUUUUUUUUUUUUUUUUUUUUUUUUUUUUUUUUUUUUUUUUUUUUUUUUUUUUUUUUUUUUUUUUUUUUUUUUUUUUUUUUUUUUUUUUUUUUUUUUUUUUUUUUUUUUUUUUUUUUUUUUUUUUUUUUUUUUUUUUUUUUUUUUUUUUUUUUUUUUUUUUUUUUUUUUUUUUUUUUUUUUUUUUUUUUUUUUUUUUUUUUUUUUUUUUUUUUUUUUUUUUUUUUUUUUUUUUUUUUUUUUUUUUUUUUUUUUUUUUUUUUUUUUUUUUUUUUUUUUUUUUUUUUUUUUUUUUUUUUUUUUUUUUUUUUUUUUUUUUUUUUUUUUUUUUUUUUUUUUUUUUUUUUUUUUUUUUUUUUUUUUUUUUUUUUUUUUUUUUUUUUUUUUUUUUUUUUUUUUUUUUUUUUUUUUUUUUUUUUUUUUUUUUUUUUUUUUUUUUUUUUUUUUUUUUUUUUUUUUUUUUUUUUUUUUUUUUUUUUUUUUUUUUUUUUUUUUUUUUUUUUUUUUUUUUUUUUUUUUUUUUUUUUUUUUUUUUUUUUUUUUUUUUUUUUUUUUUUUUUUUUUUUUUUUUUUUUUUUUUUUUUUUUUUUUUUUUUUUUUUUUUUUUUUUUUUUUUUUUUUUUUUUUUUUUUUUUUUUUUUUUUUUUUUUUUUUUUUUUUUUUUUUUUUUUUUUUUUUUUUUUUUUUUUUUUUUUUUUUUUUUUUUUUUUUUUUUUUUUUUUUUUUUUUUUUUUUUUUUUUUUUUUUUUUUUUUUUUUUUUUUUUUUUUUUUUUUUUUUUUUUUUUUUUUUUUUUUUUUUUUUUUUUUUUUUUUUUUUUUUUUUUUUUUUUUUUUUUUUUUUUUUUUUUUUUUUUUUUUUUUUUUUUUUUUUUUUUUUUUUUUUUUUUUUUUUUUUUUUUUUUUUUUUUUUUUUUUUUUUUUUUUUUUUUUUUUUUUUUUUUUUUUUUUUUUUUUUUUUUUUUUUUUUUUUUUUUUUUUUUUUUUUUUUUUUUUUUUUUUUUUUUUUUUUUUUUUUUUUUUUUUUUUUUUUUUUUUUUUUUUUUUUUUUUUUUUUUUUUUUUUUUUUUUUUUUUUUUUUUUUUUUUUUUUUUUUUUUUUUUUUUUUUUUUUUUUUUUUUUUUUUUUUUUUUUUUUUUUUUUUUUUUUUUUUUUUUUUUUUUUUUUUUUUUUUUUUUUUUUUUUUUUUUUUUUUUUUUUUUUUUUUUUUUUUUUUUUUUUUUUUUUUUUUUUUUUUUUUUUUUUUUUUUUUUUUUUUUUUUUUUUUUUUUUUUUUUUUUUUUUUUUUUUUUUUUUUUUUUUUUUUUUUUUUUUUU
ensembl:lncRNA